rnacentral:RNase_P_RNA from 1 species
AGAGAGAAGCUCAUCAGUGGGACCAUGAGCUGAGUGCGUCACAUCACUUUCACUGCUGUCCCUUGGGAAGGUCUGAGACGGGGGCUGAGGGCCACCAUGACCAGCUCUAACAGGGCCCUCCUGAACCUCAGGGAGAUGCGUCUCUAGAGAUCAGGGCUCUGUGUGAAGGCAGACUGGGCAGGCAAAAGGAUAAAGCAUUGUUGAGGCUCAGUGACAAAGGGAUCAUUUUAAUGACCAAAGAAAUGCAUGUAGAGUUCUCUUUUCU